UUAGCAGAGAUGCUUUGGUGCCUUCGGGAACUCUGAGACAGGUGCUGCAUGGCUGUCGUCAGCUCGUGUUGUGAAAUGUUGGGUUAAGUCCCGCAACGAGCGCAACCCUUAUCCUUUGUUGCCAGCGGUUCGGCCGGGAACUCAAAGGAGACUGCCGGUGAUAAACCGGAGGAAGGUGGGGAUGACGUCAAGUCAUCAUGGCCCUUACGGCCAGGGCUACACACGUGCUACAAUGGCGCAUACAAAGAGAAGCGACCUCGCGAGAGCAAGCGGACCUCAUAAAGUGCGUCGUAGUCCGGAUUGGAGUCUGCAACUCGACUCCAUGAAGUCGGAAUCGCUAGUAAUCGUAGAUCAGAAUGCUACGGUGAAUACGUUCCCGGGCCUUGUACACACCGCCCGUCACACCAUGGGAGUGGGUUGCAAAAGAAGUAGGUAGCUUAACCUUCGGGAGGGCGCUCACCACUUUGUGAUUCAUGACUGGGGUGAAGUCGUAACAAGGUAGGCGUAGCGAG
rnacentral:rRNA from 1 species